AUACGAAGGGUGCAAGCGUUAAUCGGAAUUACUGGGCGUAAAGGGUGCGUAGGCGGUUCGUUAAGUCUGUCGUGAAAUCCCCGGGCUCAACCUGGGAAUGGCGAUGGAUACUGGCGAGCUAGAGUGUGUCAGAGGAUGGUGGAAUUCCCGGUGUAGCGGUGAAAUGCGUAGAGAUCGGGAGGAACAUCAGUGGCGAAGGCGGCCAUCUGGGACAACACUGACGCUGAAGCACGAAAGCGUGGGGAGCAAACAGGAUUAGAUACCCUGGUAGUCCACGCCCUAAACGAUGCGAACUGGAUGUUGGUCUCAACUCGGAGAUCAGUGUCGAAGCUAACGCGUUAAGUUCGCCGCCUGGGGAGUACGGUCGCAAGACUGAA
rnacentral:rRNA from 1 species